AGAGACCUUGUAUUUACAACUAAGUGCACUGGUUAAACAGUCGGAAAAUCCCAACAAGCUGUACUGUGAUCAAGCAUGGAUGAAACUCAUUCCUGCACUUUACAGACUCCUACAAGAUCUGAAAAGGAUUGAAGAACUGAAGAAAGAAAUUGCAGAGAACUGUCAUUACGUGGAGUUCCUCAAAUCUGUGCAGCCUCUGUUGAGAGGUGACUCUUGUGACUCCCAGCACAGCAGUGACCAAGAGCUUGAAAAUAGCGACACAUCAUCAAGCGAGGACAUAACCGUAAUCAGCCGUUAAGAACCUUUGCAAAUAAAUGCAUAAUAAAGAUGGUUCAUUUUUGUAUUAGCA